rnacentral:rRNA from 1 species
UUCUCAGUUCGGAUCGGAGUCUGCAACCCGACUCCGUGAAGCUGGAUUCGCUAGUAAUCGCGCAUCAGCCAUGGCGCGGUGAAUACGUUCCCGGGCCUUGUACACACCGCCCGUCAAGCCAUGGGAGCCGGGGGUGCUUGAAGUGCGUCGCCGCAAGGCGCGCCCUAGAGCAAAACCGGUGACUGGGGCUAAGUCGUAACAAGGUAUC